rnacentral:misc_RNA from 1 species
GGGGGAAUGGGGCGCGGGCCGCGGGCGGUGUGUGGUGUUGUGGGUGGUGGGGGUCGCGCAUAAGAACUUCAAAAUUCACAACCCAAAGCCCUUUCAAGGCUUUCAGCUUUCAUACUGCGAGCAAUGGCAAAACUGUUAACAUGAAGGCCUCGUAAGUGAAAGUUGCCGAACCUGAGUAUGUGCAGUCCUUUUCUCUGAAUUUCUCAGUCAGGCCCUUGACAGUAAGAGAGCACUCAAUGAAAUUGUCAUAUUCAAUGGCCUUAUCUUUGCCUCCACUUUUAUCAAACUUAGAAACCAGCAAAUCCAAAACGACUGGUGAGACAGCAAAUCCUAAACUGCAUAGAGCCUCCCUCAGCUCAUUAGGAUCAAUCCUUCCACUACUAUCCUUAUCAAAUCUCUCGAACAUGGCCCUCCAGUUCUGAAGACUGUAAUACACCGAAGUGAAUUCCUUCGGCCCGAUCUUCCU